CCCAUUCGUAGCCGAUGUUCCACAGCAGG
rnacentral:sRNA from 1 species